AGUGAACGCUGGCGGUAGGCCUAACACAUGCAAGUCGAACGGCGGCACAGUAAGAGCUUGCUCUUACGGGUGGCGAGUGGCGGACGGGUGAGGAAUACAUCGGAAUCUACUUUUUCGUGGGGGAUAACGUAGGGAAACUUACGCUAAUACCGCAUACGACCUACGGGUGAAAGCAGGGGAUCUUCGGACCUUGCGCGAUUGAAUGAGCCGAUGUCGGAUUAGCUAGUUGGCGGGGUAAAGGCCCACCAAGGCGACGAUCCGUAGCUGGUCUGAGAGGAUGGUCGGCCGCACUGGAGCUGGGACACGCUCCAGGCUCCUACGGGAGGCAGCAGUGGGGAAUAUUGGACAAUGGGCGCAAGCCUGGUCCAGCCAUACCGCGUGGGUGAAGAAGGCCUUCGGGUUGUAAAGCCCUUUUGUUGGUAAAGAAAAGCAGCAGGUUAAUACCCCGCUGUUCUGACGGUACCCAAAGAAUAAGCACCGGCUAACUUCGUG
rnacentral:rRNA from 1 species